AACGAACGCUGGCGGCAGGCCUAACACAUGCAAGUCGAGCGAAGCCUUCGGGCUUAGCGGCGGACGGGUGAGUAACGCGUGGGAACGUGCCCUUUGGUACGGAAUAGCCCCGGGAAACUGGGAGUAAUACCGUAUGUGCCCUUCGGGGGAAAGAUUUAUCGCCAAAGGAUCGGCCCGCGUUGGAUUAGGUAGUUGGUGGGGUAAUGGCCUACCAAGCCGACGAUCCAUAGCUGGUUUGAGAGGAUGAUCAGCCACACUGGGACCGAGACACGGCCCAGACUCCGACGGGAGGCAGCAGUGGGGAAUCUUAGACAAUGGGGGAAACCCUGAUCUAGCCAUGCCGCGUGAUCGAUGAAGGCCUUAGGGUUGUAAAGAUCUUUCAGUGGGGAAGAUAAUGACUGUACCCACAGAAGAAGCCCCGGCUAACUCCGUGCCAGCCGCCGCGGUAAGAC
rnacentral:rRNA from 1 species